rnacentral:rRNA from 1 species
CGGGCGUAGCAAUACGUCAGUGGCAGACGGGUGAGUAACGCGUGGGAACGUACCUUUUGGUUCGGAACAACUGAGGGAAACUUCAGCUAAUACCGGAUAAGCCCUUACGGGGAAAGAUUUAUCGCCGAAAGAUCGGCCCGCGUCUGAUUAGCUAGUUGGUGAGGUAAUGGCUCACCAAGGCGACGAUCAGUAGCUGGUCUGAGAGGAUGAUCAGCCACAUUGGGACUGA